AGGUUCUAUCCAUUGACCCUGUUCCCAAUUACUCCUCACCUCUCUGAUUCUUGAAAAUUUAGUGGCAAGGCCUGAAGGGGGUGGGCCUUCGGUUUAAUUUCAAGUAAACAUUAGAAGAUCUCCUUCUCAAGAUAAUGGAGAGGAAUUUAUAUAAGGACUUUGUAAGCUGGCCCAUCAACACUGCGCUGUGUUUGCUUCACAGAUUUGGAAAUCCCGUUGGAAUUUAUUGUUUUUGCUCACGCUGAGGUAUGCUGACCUUGGGGGAACGAACACCUGCAGUGCUUUAGACUUCAAGCCAGGCAGGACUUCAGCAAUCUGAACUCUCUGCAUUUCAAGAAACAAAGGGUCCCUGGGCACCUCGACUUUUUCCUUUUAUAAUAAAAUCAAGAAGAAAGGAAGACGCAGGUUAUAGCAGGAAAAGAAUUGGCUAACUAUGAAGCAUUCUAAAAUAAACAGGAGUUGCCUACAUGUCGGAAUACCUGGAAAAGUUAUUGAAGCCACACCUGACUGAAGUUUUCAAUAAGGCUUUCUCCUUACCCGGAAUGUAACAUCUCUGCCACUGAUGGGACAUGUAAUAAAGUCAGGAUAGCAUCUUUUCAAGAACAGGCAGGCUAUUUCUUUAAAAGGCCAAAGAGGGUAUUUCUUUCAAGUGUAAAACUGAGAUCAAUUAAUGCAUCUGAAUAUCCUGUAAAAGAUUUAGUGUAACGAAACUCCUAGAAUCUGUGUCAUAGCUAUGUAGCAAAACAGCCUAUAUCUUUAGGAGGUGAAGAAAGAGACAGAUAGAAACCCAUUUACCUGCUCAGAAGGAGAAAGAGAAAGA